AUUCGAGAGAGAAAAAGUUGUCAAAUUUGCUGUAAAUUAUUAAGAAUGCAGUACAUUAACUAGCAUAAUUUAGCUGACAUAUUCUUAGUGUACUUUAGCCAACUGGGAGCCUGGAGCUGGGAGCUGAACACCUGGCUUCUCCGUCGUACAUAACUCGCAACUGUCCAGAAACGACAGGAGAUAAUUACGCUUGAGCUACCAAGUGGGCACAUAAAAUAUUUAGGUGCUGGCCAGAAGGACCCAAGACCCAAAGGUGGAAAAAAAGAGCAGAAAAUAAACGAAAAGGGUCUCAGGUCUAAGUCGACAAAUAAUAGGCCAGAGCUAUGUAUUGUGUGUGCGUGUGUGUGUGUGUGGACUGAACAUAGUAUGCACCAUGGCAAACCAUAAGCCCAGAACACAAAGCCAAAAGCCACAAAACCCAACACACAAACACAAGCACACACACGACAAAAACAAACGAAUUUGCUUUAGCUGCUGUCUCAUGGCAAAUUUAAUUAAUAAAUAAUCACAAUGUAGCCACAAGAGUAAUAACCAGCCAAAAACAACAACAAAAAAAUGAGUAUAGAAAUGAAAAUUGUCAUUAGUGUGAGCCAAAAAUGACAGACACUCAUACCCAGACACCCACACCCGCACACACAUGAGUAUUGAUGGUGCUGAAAAAUUACCAAGCAGCUGGCGACAAGUCUCAAGUGUUUAAAAUUGCAAAUGUUAUUUUCACAUGCCCCCAAAAGGUAAAUAUUUGCCACAAGACUCUUUGCCACUGCCUAGAAGUAUGCUACAGCUUCAACUUGAGUGCUUGCCCCAAGGGCACACACACACACAAACAGUCACAGACAGCCACAGAGACGAGGAGGCCAUGAGCAGGGGAAGGAAGCACGAACGCAGCCUCGUCAUAUUGCUUGGGAUGUGCU